GGCGCGCUCAUCUCUGUGGGACUGAACGAGACGUGGGAGAGAGGAUCACCCGGUUUGGAGCCUCACACCGCGGGGAACGAUGCUCAAAGAGAGGCUCUCCGCGGGCAGCAGGACUUAAAAAGCUGCGGUCCAUCCAUCUGGACACUUUGAAUCCACUCUCGCCUCUUCCUCUUUGAAAAGGAAGAUAAGAAUCCAGGCGGUCAUCUUCCAGCUCUCCUCGGGUCGGGAAUUUAACCCCAGUCUGAAGGCCAGUCAAUCAAACUAUCACCAUGUGGAAGACUAGGAUCCUCCUGCUGCUGCUUUGGGUGCUUCAGGCGUCCGCUGAACUCCAGCAAGAGACGGAGCCACGGAGACUGCCACCGCCGGGAAAGUUGGAUUUCGGUUACGUGCCUGCGGGAGUUUACGAGACACUGGCCCAUUACGAACCGGGACCGAUAGGGAUCCUGUUCCACUUGGUGCACGGCUUUCUGUAUGUGGUGCAACCCAACGCUUUCCCUGAAGAUCUUAUCAUCAGACUGGCAAAGGACAAGUUUGGAGCCAUUCAGUCAGAGUACCAAAAGGCCAUCUACUAUGAGAUAGGCUUCCUAGUAUGUGCGGCGGUGGGCCUGCUGUUCGCCAUACUGAUGCCACUAGUUGGCCUCUUCUUCUGCAUGUGCCGCUGCUGUGACAACUGCGGCGGCGAGAUGCACCAACGACAGAGAAAGAACGCAGACUGCCGGAGAGGCCUGUUGGGGACGCUGCUCUUCUCCACGUCGCUGGUCAUCACGAUCGGCGUGCUGUGUGCAUAUGCUGCCAACCAGAACCUGAGCUCCCAGGUGAAGAACAUACGGAGAUUAGUCAACAGCAACAUGAGGGACCUGCACACCUUCGUUAAUGACACACCCAUGCAAAUUGAUUACCUAAUAUCCCAGUACGCCACAGCCAAGAACAAAGUCAUCUAUGACCUAAAUAAUAUAGGUCCAUUAUUGGGUGGAAGGAUACACGAUCAGCUGGAUAAGGAGGUCAAUCCGGCCCUGGACAGAGCGCUCAGUAUGGCUGGAGCAAUGCGCGAAACAAAGGAGGCUUUGGAGAACGUCAGUGCAGGUCUGGAGGUCCUCAAAGAAGGAACAGGGAAGCUUAACUUCAACCUGAGCCUUGUUCGCACUAGUAUGAACCGCACCCUCAAUGACCCAGGCUGUCAUGAUGAGGAAUCAGAUGCCACCUCAGCUCAGCUGUGCCGAAACAUCCGUCAGUCACUGUCUCAGCUGCAGAUCAGUGCCAACUACACACGGCUACCCAAAGUGAACACACAGCUGGAAAAAGUGAACGAUGUCAUGAAAACAGACCUAAGUGCUAUCGUCCAGAGGGGAUAUGCUUCACUGAACGACACACCCCACAUGGUCAUUGAACAAACUAGGAGUGUUGUGGAGAAUGUACAGGGUUUGGUGGACGGCAUUGGCAACAACAUCAGCAGCUUUUCUAAGAUAUUCCCCGUGCAGAGUUGCCUAUCCAAUUUCACUAUUUUCAUCAACCAUGCCCAUGCCAAGAUUGAGGACCAGUAUCCUGAAAUUGACCAAAUGGACUUCUAUAGAUGGAUUGGUUGCAUUUCACUCUGUUGCAUGGUGGUCCUGGUCCUGGCCUUUAACUAUCUGGGCCUGCUGUGCGGCACGCUGGGAUACGACAAGCACGCGUCACCAACGACAAGAGGAUGCAUCUCUAACACGGGAGGAACGAUGCUCAUGGCUGGGGUUGGAUUCAGCUUCCUCUUCUCUUGGGUGCUCAUGGGAGUGGUGACUCUCAUCUUCCUGGCUGGAGGAAACAUGGAGAAACUUUUCUGUGAACCGUUCCAUACCAAAGAAGUGUUCAAGGUUGUGGAUGCCCCUUAUCUGGUCAACCCAGAGUGGAAGAACUUCAUCCCUGGCUACAUAUACAACGACUCUGACCUAGACCUGACAGCAGAGAGCUUAUACAGUACUUGCAAAGAGAACAAAGGCAUAUACUCAGCCAUGCGACUGGAUAAAGUUUUCAACAUCUCCACCUUCCUGAACACAACAUUGUUUACUAAGGAAGUGGUGGGCCAGCUAGAAAGUGUGAAGAUCGACCUGAGAGGAAUUAUUCUUUUAGAGGCAGAGGGGAAGCAGAACCUUCUGGAUUUCUCUGAAGUGGGGCUGUCUGAAAUCAACUAUGCAGACUACCUGGAAGAGGUCAAUAAAGGAGUCACUGUGGUGGACCUGCUCACAUUUUCCCGAGAGCUUGAGGCUCAGACGGAUCUCAUGCCCAGAGGCGGUCUGCAGACGGCUCUGAAAGGCCACAUCGGGACUCUGCGGCAGAUCCACCGUCAACAGAUCAUCCCGAUGGAGCAGGCCAUGAGUGCAUUGAACCAGAGUAUGAGGUUCCUGGAGAGGACAGCCUCUGACUUGCCAAACAAAGUUUUGGCUGUCAUUGAAGCCAUUGAAGCUGCACAGUACCUCAUAUCCCAGAAUGCAACACAAAUAAUCAAUCAGGAAACAGCAAAAUACACCGCAACUGUUGUUGGCUACUUCCAACAAUACAUAGAGUGGGUCAAAACAUCAUUGGUCAUGGACGUUGCACCAUGCAAGCCUUUCAGCAACAUGGUGGACACGGUGGAAAUCAUUACCUGCAGUUUCUUGGUCGACUCCAUGAACACAUUUUGGAUGGGUUUGGGCUGCAGCACUCUCUUUCUGCUCCCAAGCAUCAUCCUGGCAGUCAAACUAGCAAAGUACUAUCGAAGGAUGGACACAGAGGACGUUUACGAUGACAUUGAGACAAUUCCCAUGAAAACUAUGGAAAUUGGUAAUAAUGGUUAUCAUAGUGAGCACUCACAAGGUAUCCCAAAUCCUUUGAUGACAAGCAUCCCAGCAUAUGACACUAUGAACAGGUUCCCACGGGCCUCGGCUCCUCCGAGGCACAUUGACUGGUGACAGAGAGCCUGCUCUGGCUCCUGAAAGCUUGUUUUAGUGCUUUUCUGCUCACUGGAAAACCAUCAUGUGCCCUCGAAAACUGGAACUAAAAAACACUGCACUGUUCUUUUCACAACCCACAAAGACGAAGCAGAAGACGCUCCAUGUUAGAUGGUUUCAUUGUAGCAGAAAAACAACACAAAGCUCUCUGGAUGUUUUUAUCCAUCGAUCAACUCAACCUCAACCAGGCGGAUCACAGCCUACAAUAUCUUUUCCUUCGUCACUUCACAAAACUCUGCCGGCAGGACAUCAAACUUUUCUCUCUCAGCGUCAAUCUGAGCCAGGCUUGUUCUGCAUUUCUCUUCUUUUUAUUAUUUUAUAAAGACUGCUGUGUCUGCGUUUACAUUUGUUCAGACACAAAACCUAAGCUGAAAGCGCAUUCAGCAAGAAGACAUGACAGUAACUCAUAAUGCCUGUUCAUUUCACUGGUUUAUACUUAAGAAGACUGAAAGGUAACGGGGAAGCUGUUUUUCCUGCACUUGGAUGGACAUCUCAUGUUCAGCACAAGCUUAAUAGUCGAAGAUGGACCGGACCUGUCUAUACACCUGCAAGGAAAGUUGCAAAGUCAUAUGGAACAUGAUUUUAAAAGCUCUUUUUGUUAAAGACAGGACAUCCUUUUUAACUGAUUGUGUGAGUUGGUAAAAAAGUGUGGUACAUAUAUUGGAGAAAAUGCAGGAGCAGGUGGUUCCAAGGUGGAUUUCAAUAGGAAGAAAAAGCUUUGCUUUUAAAAAAAAAUGUUUACAGUAUUUUAGACAUCCAGAGCUUGAAUGGUUUUGGGCGAAUUGCAAAUGACUGGUUAGUUGCCUUUCAGAAGUAUGUGUUGGUUCAGCAUAUUGUAAUAUUUGCUCUGUCUCACAGGGAAAAUACACCCAUCAAUUCUAGACUACAAAUCUGUCAUACACUUUGUGCAAGGUCUUCACUUUCUGCAUUUCCCAGAAUAAAUAUGUCUUAGAUGUUUAUCCCUUAAAGUAAGAUUAAUUUAUAGUGAAAUCAUGUUGCUAAGUUCUUAGUCUGCUGAGGUUGAUUUUUAUUGACCAUUUAACUCUGAAAACAGUCAAAAUGAAGCACAAUUUUAAACAUGCAUAAAAGCAUCAGUGGAUAACUGAUUUUUUGAGUGUGGCUAAAUUCUAGUCCUGCUGGAAUUGAUGCUCUGUGCAAGUUAACAUCCACAUAUCUGCUCUGAAUAAGCUUACUUUUUAGUUCAGUGAAGCAGUUUUACACCAGUUUAACCUGACACAUCCUUCUCAUAACAGUUUUCCCAUUUUCCAGGCCACAAUACUGCCAAAUCGUACGCUACAUGACAGUCGUGCUAUGUGUUAACUGUAAGAGUAGAGCUUCAGGGCAAUGGCAGUUGCCAUUAUUCUGAGCUACAGUGGCUAUUAGUGGCGGGUGCUUGUGGUACAGUUUAGACAGACAAUGGAUUAACUGAGAACAAAUAUCAAUAACUUGUUUAACUGACUAGUUAAUAUGGGGCUGACUAGUGAGGGUGCAGAUUUAAACUGUUUAGACAGUUUAUAUUGGGCAAAGCAUAUCCUUAUUGUAUACCAAAGAGGAAAAUGGUUAAUUGGAAUUUUUUUCACACCUACAUAUUUGAAAACAUAUUCUAAAAAAAUGUCACAUGACCAAUUUAGAGAUCAUCAUCAUCACCAGCUCUCAUUUUGCAUUAUUACAGGAGUAGUGGAAACACUUGGGUGGAUUUUCCCUUUGAUUCACACAAUCCAGUCAGAGCAUAACUUCUUAAAAUGUUGCUUUUCCUGACAAGAGUGUCAGUCUAGAUUUUUCUAUAGGUAAUAAAAUGUUUAACACAAGGUAUCAUUUUGAGUUGACUAACAAAACAUUUUUACUGAUUUCUUUCUUGCUUUUAUAGAGGAGAAAUUCUUUUCUCAAGCCAAAUUGUUUGUCCUUUUUCUUUCUUUUUUUUUUUUUUUUUUUUUUAACCGUAGGUCUCAGGUCUUUAGCAGUCUGUUAUUUUUGUGCUUAUGUUUUGUUUCUGCUUUUUAAUACCCCCAGAGUAGCUAUUGAUACAUUUAAAAACAAUAGAACAAGUGAAUGUACUCAAGAGCUAUUUUGAUUUGUGUUACUUGAUGCUGUUGACUGAGAAAAAUGCUGAACUGUACGACUAACACAUUUGACAUGCCAAUCCAGAUCCAUCUCGCCUCCAUGUUUACAGGUUAGCUUAGCUUCAGCUGCUGUGGAGAUGAUUUUCAUGUGACAAUCCAUUCAUGGGACAAGUGAGCUCUCGCAAUCAUUAAAACAAAAUAUUUGAAAUUUUCAUGUUGGAAACAGUUCAUGGUAAUGAAGCAUAUUGUGAAAAAAUGUCCAUCUUAACAUUUUAAGUUUUGAAAUAACAUAUCUAGCUAGCUAACAGUCUGCUGUGUCCCUGAUCACAUACUUCUGUACUAAAUACUAAAUAUUUUGAGUAUGCAUAGUUCAUUAAAACUAGCCAACUCAAAAACAUUCAAGAAUUGAGUGCCGAACAUUGGAAACCCUAUGAAUGCCAUAUUGGUGAUGUAGCAGAUGUUGUACUGUUAGCAUGCUAGCACGCUAGCUAACGUCAGCAUCCGCUUGCAAGGUAACGUAUUAUUAGCAAUGGCAGCAUUUCAGUAAAAAAAACAAAAAAAACAAAAGGCAUUCAAGGAAAUUGGUGUUUUUUCAAGCCAAUAAUGUAAGAUAUGAGUAAAAAAGAAGAAGAAAACAGAGGUGGUUAGACUGUUGUCACUCCCUUUUAGUGCAAAACAUCAGUGUUUAAUUUGAGACAAUACUAACCUGGUGUGAUUAAGUGUUGUGUUUUGCAUUUAAUUGUACUAUAAUACUAUAUACUAACAGAAUUAUGUGAUUUCAGACACACAGUAAGAUUAAGCUAGCACAUGAUAGCAAAAAAGCUAGCCCGCUGUUUACUUCCUGAAACAUUUUACUUUUCUAAAAAAGUAAUCAAAGCCUAGAUUAGAAAAUAAGAUAAAUCAGUCUAUAAGCUAAAUGGAAAGAAAAUUUUCAUACAGUUUGGUUUUAAGAAUUAUCUCGAUGCUAAAUUAUUAGCAUCAAAGUUUUCAUUUAAUCGAACUAAAGCAGCUGAUUGGUAUUGAAAAAUCUUCACCUAAGCCUUCUAUUUGUAACAGUUCAUAAAUUUACAUUACUAUGUCAAAGUAAUUUCAUGUAUCAGGGUUUAUAAUUUGAAUAGCUAAAGCUUGAUCUAGGCUAGCUAGUAGCCUUACCACAACCAGAAAGCUAAAACUCUUGUUCUACAUGGUGACCAGUAUAGAGCACUGUUUUAUGUCUUUGUGGUAUUAAUAUCUCAAAAAUGUUCCCGAUUGUCAGGUUAACAUAUCUUUAGUGUAAAUUUCAAAUUGACUUCAGCUAGCCUAAGAUCAGCUGACUGUGUGUUUACUACUUAACUAAAAAAAAAAAAAAAAAAAACAGCUUUCUUGUGAGAUGGACAUUUUUAAGCUCAUCUGUGUGCUCACUUUGACAGGACUAUCAUUGUUUGCUUGUCUGAGUCUGGAUGUGACCAAUCUUGAGAAAGGUAUGAUUUUACUAAGUGCUUAUACUAGGUGUUGUGGUAUUCGAACCCUGGACGGAUGUCGUUAGGACGGACUGGUUUUUAACUGUGGUGCUCUGAGAUGGGCAUUGAUGGAGCUGACAAAAAGAUGCUUUUAUUUGUGGAGGCGAAAGAGACUGUAAAAAUUGUGA